rnacentral:rRNA from 1 species
GACGAACGCUGGCGGCGUGCUUAACACAUGCAAGUCGAACGGUAAGGCCCUUCGGGGUACACGAGUGGCGAACGGGUGAGUAACACGUGGGUGAUCUGCCCUGCACUUCGGGAUAAGCCUGGGAAACUGGGUCUAAUACCGGAUAGGACCCUGGGAUGCAUGUCCUGGGGUGGAAAGCUUUUGCGGUUUGGGAUGGGCCCGCGGCCUAUCAGCUUGUUGGUGGGGUGAUGGGCUACCAAGGCGACGGCGGAUAGCCGGCCUGAGAGGGUGACCGGCCACACUGGGACUGAGAUACGGCCCAGCCUCCUACGGGAGGCAGCAGUGGGGAAUAUUGCACAAUGGGCGCAAGCCUGAUGCAGCGACGCCGCGUGAGGGAUGACGGCCUUCGGGUUGUAAACCUCUUUCAGCACCGACGAAGCGCAAGUGACGGUAGGUGCGGAAGAAGGACCGGCCAACUACGUGCCAGCCGCCGCGGUAA